GAUGAACGCUGGCGGCGUGCCUAAUACAUGCAAGUCGAGCGAACGGACGAGAAGCUUGCUUCUCUGAUGUUAGCGGCGGACGGGUGAGUAACACGUGGAUCACCUACCUAUCAGACUGGGAUAACUUCGGGAAACCGGAGCUAAUACCGGAUAAUAUUUUGAACCGCAUGGUUCAAAAGUGAAAGACGGUCUUGCUGUCACUUCUAGAUGGAUCCGCGCUGCAUUAGCUAGUUGGUAAGGUUACGGCUUACCAAGGCAACGAGGCAUAGCCGACCUGUGAGGGUGAUCGGCCACACUGGAGCUGAGACACGGUCCAGACUCCUGCGGGAGGCAGCAGUAGGGAAUCUUCCGCAGUGGGCGGAAGCCUGACGGAGCAACGCCGCGUGAGUGAUGGAGGUCUUGGGAUCGUAAAACUCUGUUAUGAGGGAAGAACAUAUGUGUAAGUAACUGUGCACAUCUUGACGGUACCUAAUCAGAAAGCCACGGCUAACUACGUG
rnacentral:rRNA from 1 species